UUUUUUAAAUUUUACAAAUUAGGAGGAAAAGAAACCAACAGGGAUUGCCUCAGUAACGGCGAGUGAAGCGGCAAAAGCUCAAAUUUGGAAUCUCAGUCUUUCAGGCUGCGAGUUGUAAUUUGAAGACGUAUUUUGAAGUAAGCACAUGUCGAAGUUCCUUGGAACAGGACGUCACAGAGGGUGAGAAUCCCGUGCGAUGUGUUCACUGCUUCAUGUAAAAUGCAGUCGAAGAGUCGAGUUGUUUGGGAAUGCAGCUCUAAGUGGGUGGUAAAUUCCAUCUAAAGCUAAAUAUUGGCGAGAGACCGAUAGCGAACAAGUACAGUGAUGGAAAGAUGAAAAGAACUUUGAAAAGAGAGUGAAAAAGUACGUGAAAUUGUUGAAAGGGAAGGGCUUGAGAUCAGACUCGGGCAACCGGGCCAGCAUGGGGUGGGGGAGUAGGAUAACCCUGCAGGAAAGUGGCUUCGCUUCGGUGGAGUGUUAUAGCCUGUAGCUAUACUGCUACCCUCGCCCGAGGACUGCGGAAACAAGGAUGCUGGCAUAAUGAUCUUAAGCCGCCCGUCUUGAAACACGGACCAAAGAAGGG
rnacentral:rRNA from 1 species